ensembl:lncRNA
UCCUCCUCUUCCUCCUCCUCCCAGGCCCAUCGUCUAUAUUGUAUGCCCCUUUCAGAGGGCAUUCUAGGGUAGUUCCCACCCCUCCAGCCAGGGGAAGCCAGGGUGACCAUCUCCACCUCCUCUGAGCCCUUGGCUUCCCUUCUGCCUCCCUGUAGCACCAGCACCCCAGAUUCUGUAUGGCUGAGUUCUUCUCUCCCUGAUACUCAUCAGGUGCUUAAAGGUAAGCUCUCCCCUGACUGGCCAUAGCUGGAGCAGAGCAGAUGUUUACAUCUUUGCCCGAUGAAUGAAAGCACUCCAUUCACACUGCUUAUACCCACAGUCCCUUAGAAAAUUCAAACCACAUGGACAGGACAGAGAGCCCGUGAUCAUGUCCGGGGAUAAGCUUUCUGGGAAAUGGACCUAAAUUCCCCCAGCAGAGGGAUUUAGCAAUCACUCAGGACAACUCUUGUGCUAGCCAGCUUCUUGUUGACUUGGGCAAUUUACAGAAAUUACGGCUGUCUAUUUCCCGGGUCAGUGGUUCUCAGCCUGCAUUAGACCAGCUACCCCCAGAGAGUAUUUUUUUAAAAAAUAACUCUUCCCAGGCUGUGUCUCAGUCUUAUUCCAUCAGAACCUCUCGGGGUGGGGCUGCUGCUGCUGCUGCUGCUGCUGCUAAGUCGCUUCAGUCAUGUCCAACUCUGUGCGAUCCCAUAGAUGGCAGCCCACCAGGCUCCCCCGUCCCUAGGAUUUUCCAGGCAAGAAUGCUGGAGUGGGUUGUCAUUUCCUUCUCCAAUGCAUGAAAGUGAAAAGUGAAAGUGAAAUCGCUCAGUCAUGCCUGACUCUUAGCGACCCCAUGGACUGCAGCCCACCAGGCUCCUCCGUCCAUGGGAUUUUCCAGGCAAGAGUACUGGAGUGGGGUGCCAUUGCCUUCUCUGGGGGUGGGGCUGAGGCACCGAUAUUUCUUAAGGCUCCCAGGUGAUUCCAACAGGAAAUCAAGACGGACAAACACUGACCUACAUCAUAGAGGGUGAUGUUUCUUCUAUCUGUAUGUAGCUGAGUGGGUCCCCUAAUGCAGCCACACCAUUUUCUACACUGACUGGGCAGACAGGGUCCAGGCAGAGGAAGAGAGUCCAGCUCCAGGGACUUAUUCACACCCAGAAGUUUUCCCUAGAACAACAGUUUAUGAUCCAGAUAUCAGUUCCAGACUAAAGGAAGUGUCUGUCUCCACCACCCCUCCUCCACCCCACCCCAGCAUUUUUCACUUUCCUAUGAACCUAGUUUCUAUCCACCAUGUCCCCAUUACCUAAAUUUCUUCAGUAUUAUAACGGGGGGUGGGGGGGCGGGGAGCGGAAUCUUAAAACUCUGAUCUUGCAGUUAAGUAAAUCUCAGAAUUUGAGGUUGAUGAGAAAUAUUUAAGCCUGGUGAGUGAUGUGGGGUGCGAUUUCCCACAUCAUUACAAGAGCAAAAAUGUAACCUCUCCUCCCUAUGAGUCAGCUCAGUAACCCACUGUGUUCAUCUAGAGAAGCGCUUAAACCUUGAGAGAAAUGUAUUCAAAAGAGGUUGUCACGGCAAGUAUCACAUAAGAUUUUUUUAAAUCAACAAGUCAAAUAGAUACCCAUUCCAUCACCUCUGACAAGAAUCAUACAUUUUCUCUCCAGGAAGGAAAUGCUGUCAUUUUUUGUACAUCAUUUUACAGUUUAUUACGUUGCUUGUUUUCCAGCUUAAUCAAAAUACGAUUUACGUAUUACAUUUGUGUAAGUUUAGGACUGUACAAUGUGUUGAUACAUUUUAAUACUGACAAAUAUCACCACCAUACUGUCAGCUAAUACCUCCCCUCAUCAUAUAAUUACCACUUCUUUUUUUUUUGUAGGUGGGAACCUUCAAAGUUUACUCUCUUAGCAAUUUUUAAGUAUACAAUACAUUAGCCAGAAUCUGCAUGCUGUCCAUUUGUUGGUGGUCAGUGGCUAAGUCGUUUCUAACUCUCUGAGACCCCAUGGACUGCAGCAUGCCGUGCUUCCCUGUCCUCCACUGUUUUCCAGAGUUUGCUCAUCUUAUCCUUUGUCACCCCCUUCUCCUCCUGCCUGCAAUCCUUCCCAACAUCACGGUCUUUUCCAAUGCUGCAUAUUGGAUCCCCAAAUGUGUUUCUUUUUUAAAGAUUUUUUUUUUUUUUUUUGAUGUGGAGCCCUUUUUAAGAGUCUUUACUGAAUUUGUUACAAUAUUACUUCUGUUUCAUGUUUUGGUAUUUUGGCCCCAAGGCAUGUGGGAUCUUAGCUUCCCAACUGGAGAUCAAACCCACACCCCCUGCAUUGGAAGGCAAAAUCUUAACCACUGGGCCACCAGGGACAUUCCCCAGACUUAUUCAUCUUAUAACUAGAAGUUUGUACCUUUUGACCAACAUCUCCACAGUUUCCUUACUCCCCAGCCCCUGGCAGUACCACUCUACUGUUUCUCUGAGUUUAGCCUUUUUGGAUUCCACAUGCAAGUGAUAUCAUACAGUAUUUGUCUUUCUGUCUGGCUUAUCUCAUUUAGCUUAACGUCCUCAAGCUAUGUUCUUGCCAAAGACAGGAUUUCCUUUCUCAUGGCUGAAUAAUAUUGUAUGUCCAGUAUAUACCACACCUUCUUUAUCCAUUCAUCUACUGACAAACAAAUAGUUUCCAUGUCAUGGCUAUUAUGAAUAAUGCUGCAAUGGACAUGGGAACAUAGGUAUCCCUUUGAGAUAUCAGUUUCAUUUCCUUUGGAUAUAUACCCAGAAGUGGAAUUGCUGGAUCAUAUGCUAGUUCAAUUUUUAACUUUUUGAGGAAUCUCCAUACUGUUUUCCAAAGUGGAUGCACCCAUUUACCUUCCAACCAACAGUGCACAAGUGUUCCUUUUUCUCUACAUACUCAUUAACAUUUGUCCUCUAUCAUCUUAUCGGUGUACAGAUUAUUCAUUAACAGAGAGAUGGUAUGAUCUGUGAAACCAGGUUUCUCUCACCUAUUUCAGGCAGGGGAUGUUUAAACCUUCCAGAGAAAUAUCUAUUGAGUUCCUACUAUGGUUGAACUUUUACUUUAUUGCAUGUAUGGUAUUGAUUUCAGCUUAAAAAUUAUCAGCAGGUCAUUUCAGAGGCUAGAAAAUAACCCUGCACAUAAUGCCUUUUUAAAACUCUCAUCAGAAAUGGUAGACGGGAGCCUUAAUUAUAUUUCUCAUGUGAACAAACUCUGACAGCUUCAGCACUUCUACAAAUAGGAGUUCAAAUACAUUGCAAAAAGAGCCGCUCACUGACUAGAACUUAGCCUCUUGGAGUCUCAUCAUCAUGUCAGCACAAUGAAGCGUGAAGCUCAACUGGGAGCCCGGCUGAGGAUGCUGCCGUUCAUCUGCCAUCAUCAGGAGGUGGCAGCGCCUGUCCCUGCCGGUCCUGAGCCCCAUCUCCCUUUGGACACAUUGAUAAUAGUAAAGCCUGUGUACAGAGCACAGGAGAUGUCUGUAAAGCACCCAGAUGUUGCCAGGAGCGGCAGGAUGAUGGCUGAUCCUGGCUCAUUCAGGAGCUGGAGGCUCUGUUGGCCCCUCCAGGACAGGAUGACAAAAAAUCAGCCCAGAGCAAAGAGAUCAAAGGGCCAGCGAGUGAGAGCCAGGUAAUAAAAGGUCUGAGAAAAGUUGUCCCAGAUUUCCCGUCAAGUCUGCCCUCUCACUAAGUCCAGGAAUGAAAUGAGGGAAACCACAACAAACUUUGGAGUCAUAUUCAUGGUUGUGGAAUGUGUUGGCUCUGUGACCACGGUGGAAUAUGUUGUUGGCAUAACUGACAGAGUGAAAAGACAGCCUUCGGAAUGGGAGAAAAUAAUAGCAAGAAGCAACUGACAAACAACUAAUCUCAAAAAUAUACAAGCAACUCCUGCAGCUCAACUCCAGAAAAAUAAACGACCCAUCACAAAAUGUGCCAAAGGACUAAAUAGAUAUUUCUUCAAAGACAUACAGAUGGCUAACAAACACAUGAAAAGAUGCUCAACAUCACUCAUUAUCAGAGAAAUGCAAAUCAAAACCACAAUGAGGGACCAUUUCACGCCAGUCAGAAUGGCUGCGAUCCAAAAGUCUACAAGCAGUAAAUGCUAGAGAGGGUGUGGAGAAAAGGGAACCCUCUUACACUGUUGGUGGGAAUGCAAACUAGUACAGCCACUAUGGAGAACAGUGUGGAGAUUCCUUAAAAAACUGGAAAUAAAACUGCCUUAUGACCCAGCAAUCCCACUGCUGGGCAUACACACCAAGGAAACCAGAAGGGAAAGAGACACAUGUACCCCAAUGUCCAUCGCAGCACUGUUUAUAAUACCAGGACAUGGAAGCAACCUAGAUGUCCAUCAGCAGACAAAUGGAUAAGAAAGCUAUGGUACAUAUACACAAUGGAGUAUUACUCAGCCAUUAAAAAGAAUACAUUUGAAUCAGGUCUAAUGAGGUGGAUGAAACUGGAGCCUAUUAUACAGAGUGAAGUAAGCCAGAAAGAAAAACACCAAUACAGUAUACUAACGCAUAUAUAUGGAAUUUAGAAAGAUGGUAACUAUAACCCUGUAUGCGAGACAGCAAAAGAGACACAGAUGUAUAGAACAGUUUUUUGGACUCUGUGGGAGAGGGAGAGGGUGGGACGAUUUGGGGGAAUGGCACUGAAACAUGUAUAAUAUCAUAUAAGAAAUGAAUCGCCAGUCCAGGUUCAACACAGGAUGCUUGGGGCUGGUCCACUGGGAUGACCCAGAGGGAUGAUACGGGGACGGAGGUGGGAGGGGGUGUUCAGGAUGGGGAAUAUGUGUACGCCCGUGGCGGAUUCAUGUUGAUGUGUGGCAGAACCAACACAAUAAUGUAAAGUAAAAAAAAAUAAAGUAGUGAAGUGAUAAAAAUAAUAAUAAUAAAUAAAAAUUUUAAAAAAAUAAUAAAGGCAAUCUGAAAGGAAAAAAAAAAAGCUGGUCAUAUCAUUGACAUAGAUUGAACACAGCUAUCAGAAAAAGCCUAAAAGUCUAUGAAUCCUAAAAUAGUGAUUUCAAUUAUAAUUAGUACAGAUGCAGUUCCAGUUUUAUAAAUGUUUCUGGACUUGUCCUUUGUACUUGUCCUUUUGACUGCCACCAUCUUUUACCUGGUGGCUCAGAUGGUAAAGAAUCUGCCUACAAUGUGGGAGACCUGAGUUCUAUCCCUGGGUCAGAAAGAUCCCCUGGAGAAGGAAAUGGCAACCCACUCCAGUAUUCUUGCCUGGAGAAUUCCAUGGACAGAGGAGCCUGACAGGCUACAGUCCAUGGGUUGCAAAGAGUCAGAUACAAUUGAGUGACUAUUUAAUGCUUUAUUACUAGACAGUCCCAGCCUCUGCCCCAUGUUGUGUUCGUUUGGGCCACUCUGUUUGGGUCAAGCACCUGGAAUUCACCUGCAGAGUCCCUUCUCCUCGGUAACAAACCCUGGACCAGGAGGCAAAGCUCCCUGAGAUAUUAACUGAUCUCCCAGCUGUCUGACUUCCUGCCCAGGUAGUCCUAUCUCCAUGGAAACCUGCAUCCCUGAACACAUCUUCUUGAUCAGCAGUUCCUAAAUCCUUCAUUCCAGACUCAUCACCUACACACACACACACACUAAUUGCCACUCUGCUCUGGCCACAAAUGACCAGUGUGCCCUAGGGAGGACCCCGAGAGCCCACCCAAAAACACCUGACCUCAGUUCCUUGUGUUUCUUCACAAGAUGGAUGCAUCUCUGAGCUUCAAGCCCUACCAUCAGGCAUUUGAGGGUGUGGUCCAGCCCUUCUGCAGGGUCCUGCCAACACUCCAGACUCAGAAACGGAGCAACCCCAUAAUAAUGCAACCAAAGAGGCCAGAGUGAAAGAGCACGCAGGCUACAGAGAGAGAGCCCUCCUCCAGUGAUGAGGCUGAGGGAUUUUGAUCUGUUUGGGCACCCAGGGAGCUCACUGUUAGGGGCCAGUCCCAGCUCCAUCCUUGGUCUACCCCAUGACCUUGAGGAAAGAGGCCUUUCUUCACCUCUAAAGAUAGAAGGAACACAUUACCUGCCUCUCCCCAGAAGGACGGAAGGGAAGCUCAAGCCCCUGCAAGCAGCUCCCACAGUGCUCUGCAAGGCCUCCCGUCUCAUCUGGAGCCAGAGCGGCUGGGCCCCUUCCCCGCCCCCUCCUGCCUUCCUUCUGGCGUUGACAUUUGAUUCUGUCUUGAGGCUGCACUAGAAGCGACCGCUCACCAUCCUCCUCUCUGGGUUUCCCCGUCCUCCUCCUCCUAACCCUAGAAGCACUGAGCACAAGGCUCAGCCUGGACUGAAAGUUCAAGAACCAUUUCUUAAAACCCUUGGCUAAUUUAGUAAAAGCUGAGAUGCCAAGCAAGUCCCUGGUGCACGAGUUUCGUUCCAGGGAGGGUAGAGGGUGCUUCUGUGGAAUGUCUGUGCCUCCAGCACUUGCACAGAGGGACUGGAUCUGCCUAAUGUCACACAGGUGAACACUUGUGGUCUGGGAGGUAAGCCUGUACACACGCAGGCAUCAUCUCCCCAGGCUGUGACUGGCAAGUUCAGAAUGAAAUCCAGGCUCUGCAUCAUGGCCCCACCACUGUCUACACCACCGUGAUCUGGCCCCUGCCUCCAUCUCUAAGCUCCCUCCCACUCACUCAGCCCCCACAUACUGAGCUUCCUCUCCUCUCCAAGGGGCUCAAAUCCCACUGCCCCUCUGCCUCAGACCUCACCCCUCCUCACAAGGACUCCCCAUUACCAGGUGACUCACACCCAGCCCUUCGCCACUGUCUCAGCAGCCAUCUGUGUCUUUCACGAUGUUUAUCACACCCUCAACUCAGGCUACUGCCCAGCCCCUCCAUGUGAUCCUCGAAGGCUGCAAUCAGAUUGCUCUGCCCUACCGUGGUGCCCCAUGGGUGGACACCCACAAGGCUUAAAAAACAACUGCUGUGAUCACAGCUGGUUUUAAAACGAUCUCAAUGCCACUACACACAUAUUAGAAUGACCAGUGGCAACUUGCUCCAGCAUUCUUGCCUGGGAAAUCCCAUGGACAGAGGAGCCUGGUGGGCUACAGUCCAUGGAGUCACAAAAGGGUCAGACGCAACCUAUCAGCUAAACAACAGAGCGACCAAAAUCCACAACACUGACAGCAGAUCCCGUCAGGGAUGUGAAGCAACAGAAAUUCUCAACACAGCUGGUGAGAAGGCAAAAAGGUGCCAGCACUUUGGAAGACAGUCUGACAGUUUCUUAUAAAACUAAACACACUCUUACUGUAGGAUCCUACAGUCACUCUCCUUGAUGUUUACCCAAAGGGGCUGAAAACUUACAUCCACACAAAUACCUGCACAUGGACGUUUAAUAGAUGCUUUAUUAAUAAUUGUCAAACUUGAUAGCAGCCAAGAUACCAUUCAGGGGGUGAAUGGAUAAAUUAAGUGUGGUCCAUUUAGACGAUGGAAUGCUAUUCAGUGCUGAAGAGAAAUGAGCUCUCAAGCUAUGAAGAGACAUGAAGAAAUCGUCAAUGCAAAAUCCUAAGUGAGAGAAGUCAACCUGAAAAGGCUACAUAACAUUUACAAUCUGAAGAGGCAAAAGCGUGAAAACAGUGUUGGUCACUCAGUCGUGUCUGACUCUUUGUGACUCAGGAGCUUUGACUCAUCAGUCUCCUCCCCUCUUGAAAUUCACCAGACAAGAAAACUGGAGUGGGUUGCCACGGCCUUUUCCAGGAGAUCUGCCCGACCCAGGAAUCAAACCCGGGUCUCCUGCAUUGCAGGCAGGUUCUUUACCUUCUG